rnacentral:rRNA from 1 species
GACGAACGCUGGCGGCGUGCUUAACACAUGCAAGUCGAACGAGUGGCGAACGGGUGAGUAUUACGUGAGUAACCUGCCCUAACUGUGGGAUAAGCCUGGGAAACUGGGUCUAAUACUGCAUAGUUGGGGAUGGGCUCGCUGCCUAUCAGCUUGUUGGUGGGGUGAUGGCCUACCAAGGCGGUGACGGGUAGCCGGCCUGGGAGGGUGGUCGGCCACAUUGGGACUGGGAGACGGCCCAGACGCCUACGGGAGGCAGCAGUGGGGGAUAUUGCACAAUGGGCGCAAGCCUGAUGCAGCAACGCCGCGUGAGUGAAGAAGGUUUUCGGAUCGUAAAGCUCUGUUGUUAAGGAAGCGGUACUUAACCAGAAAGGGACGGCUAACUACGUGCCAGCCGCCGCGGUAAUUC